rnacentral:rRNA from 1 species
GACGAACGCUGGCGGCGUGCUUAACACAUGCAAGUCGAACGGAAAGGCCCUGCUUUUGUGGGGUGCUCGAGUGGCGAACGGGUGAGUAACACGUGAGUAACCUGCCCUUGACUUUGGGAUAACUUCAGGAAACUGGGGCUAAUACCGGAUAGGAGCUCCUGCUGCAUGGUGGGGGUUGGAAAGUUUCGGCGGUUGGGUAUGGACUCGCGGCUUAUCAGCUUGUUGGUGGGGUAGUGGCUUACCAAGGCUUUGACGGGUAGCCGCCCUGAGAGGGUGACCGGCCACAUUGGGACAGAGAUACGGCCCAGAAUCCUACGGGAGGCAGCAGUGCACAAUAUUGCACAAAGGGCGGAAGCAUGAUGCAGCAACGCCGCGUGCGGGAUGACGGCCUUCGGGUUGUAAAACGCUUUAGCCUGUGACGAAGCGUGAGUGACGGUAAUGGGUAAAGAAGCACCGGCUAACUACGUG